UUGAACGCUGGCGGCAUGCCUAACACAUGCAAGUCGAACGGCAGCACAGCAGUAGCAAUACUGUGGGUGGCGAGUGGCGGACGGGUGAGUAAUGCAUCGGGAUCUACCUAAACGUGGGGGAUAACGUAGGGAAACUUACGCUAAUACCGCAUACGUCCUACGGGAGAAAGCGGGGGAUCGCAAGACCUCGCGCGGUUAGACGAACCGAUGUUCGAUUAGCUAGUUGGUAGGGUAAUGGCCUACCAAGGCGACGAUCGAUAGCUG
rnacentral:rRNA from 1 species